UACAGAGGUCCCGAGCGUUGUUCGGAUUCACUGGGCGCAAAGGGUGCGUAGGCGGUUCUGAAAGUCUGAUGUGAAAUCUCCAGGCCCAACCUGGAAACUGCAUUAGAAACUACAGGGCUAGAGGCUUGGAGGGGGAACUGGAAUUCUCGGUGUAGCAGUGAAAUGCGUAGAGAUCGAGAGGAACACCAGUGGCGAAGGCGAGUUCCUGGACAAGUCCUGACGCUGAGGCACGAAAGCCAGGGGAGCAAACAGG
rnacentral:rRNA from 1 species